rnacentral:rRNA from 1 species
GAUGAACGCUGGCGGCGUGCUUAACACAUGCAAGUCGAACGAAGCACUUUAUUUGAUUUCCUUCGGGACUGAUUAUUUUGUGACUGAGUGGCGGACGGGUGAGUAACGCGUGGGUAACCUGCCUUGUACAGGGGGAUAACAGUUGGAAACGGCUGCUAAUACCGCAUAAGCGCACAGCAUCGCAUGAUGCAGUGUGAAAAACUCCGGUGGUAUAAGAUGGACCCGCGUUGGAUUAGCUAGUGGGUGAGGUAACGGCCCACCAAGGCGACGAUCCAUAGCCGACCUGAGAGGGUGACCGGCCACAUUGGGACUGAGACACGGCCCACACUCCUACGGGAGGCAGCAGUGGGGAAUAUUGCACAAUGGGCGAAAGCCUGAUGCAGCGACGCCGCGUGAGCGAAGAAGUAUUUCGGUAUGUAAAGCUCUAUCAGCAGGGAAGAUAAUGACGGUACCUGACGAAGAAGCACCGGCUAAAUACGUG